rnacentral:lncRNA from 1 species
CUUUCAGCCAUCCGGUUACCCCAUCAUGGGUGUUGGCCAUUCUGUGACGGGUUUUAUGAGUGGCCGCCGCCAGAUACAGAAUAUCCCUCGUGCGAUAUGGCUGCGUAACUAAAUUAAGCUAACCCGAAUAAUAUUUUGUGGGCUGCCAAAAAUUUUAAGUUCCGCCAACGAGCAGAACACACAGAUCCGGACUGUCCAGUAGUAUUAGGUGUCGGAUGAUUACUAUUAAAAUAUGUCUGGCUUGGUCGGCCGCUACCAGAAAAGUGAGUUCUCUUUUCUCUUCAUUAGGAACUAAUUUUGACCGAUUUUUCUGUAUCGUUCUGCGCCGAAUGUUGAAAACUUCCGCUUCGAGAAAUAGUUCUCAAACAUCCGCCACAAGAUCAUUACCUUCCCACGUAGAUCUAAUGCGGGUUGGAGAGAGAGAAUGGAAACAGCUAAUCAUUAAAAUCAUAAACUCAUCAUAAGCUAAAUCAUUACUCUGAAUUUAUUUCUACAAUUUAUAAUUAUUAUUUUUAUACUCUACUGUUAUUUAUUAAUUUUUAAACUAACCUUGCCAUUUAUUAUUAGUAGUAUUAUACUCAAUAGACCUUAUUAUUAGUAAUUUAAUUUGAGUUUAUAGAAUUUUUUAAAAGAAAUUAAGAGAAAAGCCUU